rnacentral:rRNA from 1 species
AGCAGCCGCGGUAAUUCCAGCUCCAAUAGCGUAUAUUAAAGUUGCUGCAGUUAAAAAGCUCGUAGUUGAAUUUCGGGAUCAAUAUGUCGGUCGUGCCUUGGUACGUACUGGUAUCAUUGGUCUCUCCUUUCUGACGAACCAUGAUGUCCUUAAUUUGGUGUUAUGGGAAGUUAGGACUGUUACUUUGAAAAAUUGAGUGUUUAAAGCAGGCUCACGCUUGAAUGCAUUAGCAUGGAAUAAUGAAAUAGGACGUUUGAUUCUAUUUUGUUGGUUUCUAGGAUCGACGUAAUGAUUAAUAGGGAUAGUUGGGGGCAUUAGUAUUCAAUUGUCAGAGGUGAAAUUCUUGGAUUUAUUGAAGACUAACUACUGCGAAAGCAUUUGCCAAGGAUGUUUUCAUUAAUCAAGAACGAAAGUUAGGGGAUCGAAGACGAUCAGAUACCGUCGUAGUCUUAACCAUAAACUAUGCCGAC